rnacentral:lncRNA from 1 species
AUCAGUGAUGGUCCUAGAAAAAAAAACUUGAUUAAUUUGUUCUUACCCCAACAUCAUCAAUACAUUGUUUUUUAAAUUAAUUAUAACUUUUGUUUUUUAACGUAUUGCAAGUUGCUUUCAAGAAAAGUUCUGGACAUUAAAUAGCUUCAUUAUUAUGUGUAUGAAUGGUAACAUGUCAUAGAUAUGAUAUGAGAGUUGGUUUCAAAUUAGUACGUUGUCAUUAAUUACAAAAAAAAAAAGAAAAACUGUAGGGUUCUUGAUUGAAUAAUUCAUAGAAUAGUGGAAAUAAUAAUGUAAUUUCUACUGAUUUAUUUUUACCAAUCAUAAUGACAUAUUCGAAGAUUUUGCUAUAUUUACAACCAACGGACCAAAAUAGAAUUAAUAAUUUAUACUCAUUCUAAAGUUUUUUCAGCUACAUAAAUUUUGACCAUUUAAUGAUAUAGUCUUUUUAUUAUGUAUACAGUUAUACUUUUUUUUUUCUUUCAAAUUUUCGUAGUUCUACUAUUUUUCAUAAUCUAAACCAUUUUCAUUAACACACUCUCUCCAUCUUGUACUAUACAAAACAACAUAUAUAUGAUGAGUUUUAUGAGCCGGCCAACAGAGUUUAAAAGGUUGUAUCAGUCGCAGAUUGGUACCGGUAGGAAACAAAAGCCAAGUAACGAUGUCAGCCACUUAUUGUUGCAUAAUAUAAAAGUUUCAAAUCUGUCACUAUGUAGAGACAUAUAUCUCCUCGUAACAUGACUUUAACUGAUGA